rnacentral:rRNA from 1 species
UGGGGAAUAUUGGACAAUGGGCGCAAGCCUGAUCCAGCCAUGCCGCGUGAGUGAUGAAGGCCCUAGGGUUGUAAAGCUCUUUCACCGGUGAAGAUAAUGACGGUAACCGGAGAAGAAGCCCCGGCUAACUUCGUGCCAGCAGCCGCGGUAAUACGAAGGGGGCUAGCGUUGUUCGGAAUUACUGGGCGUAAAGCGCACGUAGGCGGAUCAGCAAGUUAGGGGUGAAAUCCCGGGGCUCAACCCCGGAACUGCCUUUAAAACUGUUGGUCUCGAGUCCGGAAGAGGUGAGUGGAAUUCCGAGUGUAGAGGUGAAAUUCGUAGAUAUUCGGAGGAACACCAGUGGCGAAGGCGGCUCACUGGUCCGGUACUGACGCUGAGGUGCGAAAGCGUGGGGAGCAAACAGG